UUAGACCGUCGUGAGACAGGUUAGUUUUACCCUACUGGUGUGUGCUAAUACGUGCUAUCGUAACGGAACUCCUGUGCAGUACGAGAGGAACCACAGGUACGGACCACUGGCUCAAUACUAGUUCGACCGGACUUUGGUAUGACGCUACGUCCGCUGGAUUAUGCCUGAACGCCUCUAAGGUCGUAACCAAUCCGAGCUGAUAGCGCUUCUUAAAACCUAAUGGGCAAUCGGAAGCUAGCGGGCCUAACAACCCUCCGAGAUCCGUCGGCGGCAUCCCUCUGGAACGCCGGCGUCUCAUCCUCUACGCUUCACCAUACUGGGCCGCAUCGCGCGGAGUUGCACCUGCACGCGUUAGUACCCUACCACGGGGAACACCGGCGACCGCGACUCCGCCGACCGUGGAUACACCUAGUUUCGACACCUACGACCGCCCGCACACGACGGGACUACAGGCUGGGAGCUGCGAGUUGUAGAGAUGCGUUCGCAUCGAUCCUCUCAGGCGACCCACGCUUGGUGGUUUGCG
rnacentral:ncRNA from 1 species